GGGUGGUAAUGCCGGAUGCUCCAGUUGGAUGCAUGUCCUUCUGGGAAAGAUUCAUCGGUAUGGGAUGGGGUCGCGUCCUAUCAGCUUGAUGGCGGGGUAACGGCCCACCAUGGCUUCGACGGGUAGCCGGCCUGAGAGGGCGACCGGCCACAUUGGGACUGAGAUACGGCCCAGACUCCUACGGGAGGCAGCAGUGGGGAAUAUUGCACAAUGGGCGCAAGCCUGAUGCAGCGACGCCGCGUGCGGGAUGACGGCCUUCGGGUUGUAAACCGCUUUUGACUGGGAGCAAGCCCUUCGGGGUGAGUGUACCUUUCGAAUAAGCACCGGCUAACUACGUGCCAGCAGCCGCGGUAAUACGUAGGGUGCAAGCGUUAUCCGGAAUUAUUGGGCGUAAAGGGCUCGUAGGCGGUUCGUCGCGUCCGGUGUGAAAGUCCAUCGCUUAACGGUGGAUCCGCGCCGGGUACGGGCGGGCUUGAGUGCGGUAGGGGAGACUGGAAUUCCCGGUGUAACGGUGGAAUGUGUAGAUAUCGGGA
rnacentral:rRNA from 1 species